GUGAGUAAAAAGGUUGGAGUUAAAUUCGAGGAUGUUGCCAUUGUGAGUGGAUUCAUUGAUGUGUUUCCGAGUGAAAUUGCAAGUAUGUUACCAGCUAGAGCAUUUGAGUUCACUAUAGAGUUAAAUCCUGAAACGACACCUAUAAAUGAUCUAAUUAGGACACAAUUGCAAGAGUUGUUUCGUUAAGGAGUAUGUUAGACCUAGUUCAUCACUGUGGGGAGCUCCUGUGUUGUUUGUUAAGGAGAAAGACAAGAGUAUGGAAUUAUGCAUCGAUUUUAGGGAGCUAAACACCAUCAAGAACAAGUAUCCCUUGCCUAGGAUAGAUGACAUAUUAGACCAAUUGAAUUGGGCGAGUGUGUUCUCGAAAACUGAUUUGUGUUUGAAGUACCACCAAUUUAGAAUAGCUGAUAAGGGCCUAAGACCUCAUUAGGAUUCGUAUUGUCAUUGUGGGUUUAGAAUAAUGUCUUUUAGGUUAACCAAUGCACCUGCAUUAAUUAUGGAUUUGAUGAAUGAGAUUUUCUACGAAUUCCGAAUUAAGUUCGUUAUGAUGUUAUUGAUGAUAUCCCUAUUUAUGCAAGGAAUGAGAAAGAGCAUGACAAACACUUGAGGAUUACUUGGAGACGCUUAGGAAGAAUCUAGUUUUAUUAAAUGAAGUAUACAAAUCUUGAAGUCAUAUGUGUAUAAGUGACACCGACGGAAAAUGAAGGACUAAAUUGAUUGAGAACUAUGUUACGUAAGGGAAUAAAUCUAAGAGAUGAUUUGAGUGGUCCAGGAUCGUUAGAAAUCAUUCGUUGUCUGGAAAAGAUGAAAAGAAAUACAUGAAUUGGUGCAAGAGCUAAGAGUUAAGCCCAAAAGUUAUACAUAUCCAUGAAAGGCAUAAUGAGGUUUGGUAAAAAGGAAAAGUUGACCAGAAGGAGUCUCUGUAGAUCCUGCUAAGAUUAGAGAGGUGAGUGAGUGACCUAUUCCAAGAACGUGUAUGUAUCUAAAGUUUUCUAGGCCUAGAUGACCAUUAUAGGAUGUUGUGAAAGACUUUUCGAAGAGAGAAAAACCAUUGACCAACUUGUUGAAAAAGGAAUCGAAAUUCAAGUGAAGUGAGAAAUGUGAGGAAGCUUUUUAGAUUUAGCUUUUGUCGCGUCAAUUGAAACCUUAUAAGGCUAAUUACCAAACCCAUGACCUAGAGUUAGCUGUUAUGGUGUUAUCUAUGAAUAUUUGGAGACAUUACCUUUACAGGGCAGCAUGUAAGAUCCUUACCGAGAACAAAAGUCUGAAAUUUUGGCAAUAAGGUCCAGUUGAAUCUUGGGGACGACAUUGAAAUGAGUAUUUCUUUCCACCCUGCAACCGAUAGACAGACUGAGAUUACUAACGGAAUACAUGUUGAGAUCCUGUGUUAUUGAAUUUAAGGGUAAUUGAAAAGACCAACUAGAGUGAUUGAACUUCUUCAACAAUAGUUACUAUGCGAGCUUUAAGAUGGAACCUGUUGAGGCAUUGUGUGGAUAGAAGUGUAGAAAUCCCAUUUGCUAUGAUUUUAGUGGAAAUAUAGCUUUGGGGCAUUAUUCGUCGAAGUAGAAAUAUCCAAAGUUAUUCCCUGGGAUGAGUUACGAGGGCGUAACUCGUUUUCUUUAAGGGGGUAGAAUGCGAUAGAAAUUCGCGCUUUUUACCUAUUUUUAUGGUAUUUUUAUGCAUUUGAUGCUUAUUUUUAGCAACCUUUACAUGUUGAUGCAAAGUAAAUAGGUUCUCCGCAUAAGAAAAAGGUGUUCAUGAGUAACACAAGCAACUUCAAGUUGGCAAAAGAGUGCACAUGAGUGGCACAAGUACUCCUCUAGUAAGAAUAAGUUGAAAACUCUUGAAAAAUGCGUGACUCUUCGUGUCAAGUUUCGGGACGAAACUUCUUUUAAGAGGGGUAGAUUGUAAUCCCCCGUAAUUUUAUACAUUUUGUUUAUAUAUUUUAACGUAUAUUAAUAUAUUUAAAUAUAAUUUGCAGAUUUUAGAAAUGAAUAUGUAAUUAAAAUAUAAUUAUUUUAUUUCAUUUGGAAUACUUUUAAUGAUUUACGAAAUCAAAAUGUAUUUUCGAAUUGUACGUUAAAACGAUUUCGAAUUACGAAACCACGUUCUAUUGAAAUUAGAAAACAAGUACUAAAUAUUUGGAUUCACCUAAAUUCCUACUCCUAGCCCAAUUGGGCAUAGCCCAAACCAAUAAACCCAACAAAUACUCCUUUCUCUCCUCUACUCUUACGUGAAACCAAAAGAAGAAAAAAAAAAGAGAAGCCCUCAUUCUUCAAUUCACGCACAACUCAGCCAUCUCUCCUUCCUCUCCUCCACGCCGUCGCCCUCGCUGUUGCCCAGCCACCGGACCACCACCGCUCCCGCCGGUAAGCCCUGUCCUCUCCUCAUCCUCUUUCGAUUCUCCCCUUCCCCUCUGUUUGUUUUCGAGCUUCCCUUAAUCCUUGCGUUUUCGCAGCAACCCCGUUCGCGCAGCACCACGCACGCAACCCCGGUUCGCACAGCAGCCACCGCACGCAACCACCGUGCCCAGCCCUUGCCGCGAGCCACCACCGUCCGCCGGUCAACCCUCUAUCCUCCUUAUUGAAUUGGCGGAGAAUUCUCUUUAGGCGACUUUUGUAAGUGUUAAAGUGGUCUAUCAGUUUGUUUACACAAGUCUCUAAGGAUCAAUAAGCGUUGCCCAUCUACAGGUUUGAAGAUGAUGCAUCAUUGGGAUCGGGAUUAGAGAGCUUGUAGUUAUAUUUGUUUAAUUAAGUGAUUUAAUUUGUUAAUUUGGACUUGAAAUUUGUCGUA